AACGAACGCUGGCGGCAGGCCUAACACAUGCAAGUCGAGCGGACCCUUCGGGGUUAGCGGCGGACGGGUGAGUAACGCGUGGGAAUAUGCCCUUCUCUACGGAAUAGUCCUGGGAAACUGGGAGUAAUACCGUAUACGCCCUUUGGGGGAAAGAUUUAUCGGGGAAGGAUUAGCCCGCGUUGGAUUAGGUAGUUGGUGGGGUAAUGGCCUACCAAGCCGACGAUCCAUAGCUGGUUUGAGAGGAUGAUCAGCCACACUGGGACUGAGACACGGCCCAGACUCCUACGGGAGGCAGCAGUGGGGAAUCUUAGACAAUGGGGGCAACCCUGAUCUAGCCAUGCCGCGUGAGUGAUGAAGGCCUUAGGGUUGUAAAGCUCUUUCAGCUGGGAAGAUAAUGACGGUACCAGCAGAAGAAGCCCCGGCUAACUCCGUG
rnacentral:rRNA from 1 species